GCUGGCGUCUGUCUCUCUGGAUGUGCCUGUGGACAUGUCAGUGAUCUCCCUCCCUCUCUAUUGUGCCGUGAGUGGGAGAAGGUGGCAGGGGUAUUAUAAAUAGAAGUGCUGGGCUGCGAGGGUCAGGGUGACUUCCUUGUCACAGGGCCUAGUGCACAUUCAACCCCCUCUAACGUUGAGAUGGCACCCAGGCCCACAAAGGUAAAAUGGGGGCAAGCAAGCAUAGAGGAAAGGAUGGUCACUAGAGAUAAAGGUGUGUGGAGGAAAGGAUGGUCACUAGAGAUAAAGGUGUGUGGAGGAAAGGAUGGUCACUAGAGAUAAAGGUGUGUAGAGGAAAGGAUGGUCACUAGAGAUAAAGGUGUGUAGAGGAAAGGAUGGUCACUAGAGAUAAAGGUGUGUGGAGGAAAGGAUGGUCACUAGAGAUAAAGGUGUGUAGAGGAAAGGAUGGUCACUAGAGAUAAAGGUGUGUAGAGGAAAGGAUGGUCACUAGAGAUAAAGGUGUGUAGAGGAAAGGAUGGUCACUAGAGAUAAAGGUGUGUAGAGGAAAGGAUGGUCACUAGAGAUAAAGGUGUGUAGAGGAAAGGAUGGUCACUAGAGAUAAAGGUGUGUAGAGGAAAGGAUGGUCACUAGAGAUAAAGGUGUGUAGAGGAAAGGAUGGUCACUAGAGAUAAAGGUGUGUAGAGGAAAGGAUGGUCACUAGAGAUAAAGGUGUGUAGAGGAAAGGAUGGUCACUAGAGAUAAAGGUGUGUAGAGGA